UACGUAGGGUGCAAGCGUUAAUCGGAAUUACUGGGCGUAAAGCGUGCGCAGGCGGUGAUGUAAGACAGUGUGAAAUCCCCGGGCUCAACCUGGGAACUGCAUCUGUGACUGCAUCGCUGGAGUGCGGCAGAGGGGGAUGGAAUUCCACGUGUAGCGGUGAAAUGCGUAGAGAUGUGGAGGAACACCAAUGGCGAAGGCAGCCUUCUGGGCCAACACUGACGCUCAUGCACGAAAGCGUGGGGAGCAAACAGG
rnacentral:rRNA from 1 species